UCUUUAUCUCAUCAGGCGGGCGUUUUAUCUUCUCACGUCAUGACAAGAACGAGACAAGGAACUUCAUUCUGGACACCCCUGGUUACCAUUCAGCCCUAUUUUCACAAAUACAGCUGGAGGAAGAGGGGAAACUGCCUUGUACGUGGGUCUUCUAGUGAUUCCUCCCCUAACAUUUGGAAAGAACUCAAGAUGGACUUAUUUUGAAUUCUGUUUAAAAAUUAAGGUUAUAUUAAGUGGCCAUUUGCAAAAGAAGAAUGGAUUGGAAGAUGGAAGAAUGAAAUGACUACCUGUAGACUCUAAUCUAACAGUAAGGGUCCU